GAGCAAACACAGGGCAGAAGCAUCUGCGCCUUGCCAGGCAUUUGAUGAAUUUGAUUAAUGUAUGCUGAGAUGGCCUCCAGGCAGGUGGACAUCCAUGUCUACCCACACGGGACCCAUGGAAACGUCUGGAUUUCCUCCAUUCCCUUAGGAGCUGCAGGAAAAUCCAGGGGUAGAACGUAGAUUUGGAAGAGAUUUACGGAGUCCUCAUGAUGCCACAAGCAACCAGCAUUGUCUAUGGCUACACAGUCCCCUUCCUCCAGCUUCUGGCUUCUUGUCACUUCCAACCCCGGCUUUCUGUCUAUAGGGCAGUCAGUGCCCAAUCAGAUACCACUUGCACAGUAAGAUAGUAGACAUGGGAAAGGAGUGGAUUUAGUUACUUAACUAUCAGCACCAGAGAGAAUUUUCCCCCAAUGAAAUUGAUAGAACCUGUCUGAAAAUGUAAAGUGUUGUAAGUCAUGCCAAGUAUAUAGAAAUUGCUUAUAUUAAAUAUUCCCUUGAAAUAAUAUUUAUUUCUCCAAUACAGCUGUUCUCAGUGAGUAUUAUUUCUGCCUACAAUGAUAAAAUCAGUGUAAACAGAAUGCAGGUAGCAGCAUCUUGACUUCCUUUCAAAAUAGGAGUUGAGCAGUUGACUAUCAGCAGGACUUAGGGAAGCCCUCCACUUUAGUAAAGGCUCUACUUUCCCUUAUUGGUAGCCCCUUAUGCAGCAAAAAGGUACAUGUGGCGUUGAAAAAUGUGCACAUCAUCUGUUCUCUUCCUUCAGUCAAGUUGGAAUGUGCUGACCUUGCCUGUGUCUGUUGAGCCUUAUGAAGUAUCUCCAGGGGUUUUCAAGGCCAGACGAGAAAAAUGCUCUGAAGGCAGAUGAAAGGGAGUUCUGUGCAGGGAGCUCCAGCACAAGCCAGAGAAAAUUUUCUGUAUCUAAAGUAGUCUGCUUUGUUACAUCUGGACGAAGCUCUGAGAGGAGGGGGAAGCAUGUGCUGCCUUCCAAAUGGUGAGGACCGUCGAGUCAAACUCCUGUUGGCAAGAAUUCCUGAUUGGUGGUGCUCCUCCCUAGCCAUGAGAAAACAGAUGCAUGGUACGGUCUUCUGAAAUGGAACUCUUCACUGCUACCUCUUGUAAAAGACCUUCAUAUUUCUAGGAGACUUCAUGUUUCACCUAGAAAUCAAUUGUACUUGGAAAUAUUUGAAUCAUAUCUCAUGAAAUUUUAAGGUGGAGAAUUGACUGGAUAGAUUAUGAA